UACGUAGGGUGCAAGCGUUGCCCGGAUUUAUUGGGCGUAAAGGGCGCGCAGGCGGCUACGCACGUCCGUUGUGAAAUCGCCCGGCUCAACUGGGCGGGGUCAGCGGAUACGGCGUAGCUGGAGCAAGCUAGGGGGCAAUGGAAUUCCCGGUGUAGAGGUGAAAUUCGUAGAUAUCGGGAGGAACACCAGUGGCGAAGGCGGCGAUCUGGGUCGAUACUGACGCUGAGGUGCGAAAGCGUGGGGAGCAAACAGG
rnacentral:rRNA from 1 species